CCUACGGGAGGCAGCAGUGGGGAAUAUUGCACAAUGGGGGAAACCCUGAUGCAGCGACGCCGCGUGCGUGAAGAAGGCAUUCGUUAUGUAAAGCUCUAUCAGCAGGGGAGAAAAUGACGGUACCUGAGUAAGAAGCCACGGCUAACUACGUGCCAGCAGCCGCGGUAAUACGUAGGGGGCAAGCGUUAUCCGGAUUUACUGGGUGUAAAGGGAGCGUAGACGGCAGUGCAAGUCUGCAGUGAAAGGGGGGGGCUCAACCCGCGGACUGCUCUGGAAACUGUACGGCUGGAGUGCAGGAGAGGUAAGCGGAAUUCGUAGUGUAGCGGUGAAAUGCGUAGAUAUUAGGAGGAACACCAGUGGCGAAGGCGGCUUACUGGACCGGAACUGACGUUGAGGCUCGAAAGCGUGGGGAGCAAACAGGAUUAGAUACCCCAGUAGUC
rnacentral:rRNA from 1 species